UUUCAGUCUUGUCUCGUAUUGCUUUCUGUUGACCUCCCAUCUCACUGCCUGCCACUCACAAUGAAAGAAGAAGGAAGAGAGAGGAAGGAGGAAACGGUGAGUAAAAGAGAGGGAGGGUGUUGGAGAAGAGGGACCUGAAAGAGAAUGGGGAAGACAGCUUCUUGCACCAUUUCCCAUAGCUCUCUUUGUGACCACAACUGUCAGUUAGGAAGGAAGAAAAGAUGAGGGGCUAGGUUUUUCGCCUGUGGAUUCCAAGCAGGAGAGUGGAAAUAAUUGAUAAAAAUCCAGUUUCAGAGAUCUUCACAGACUGUUGUGGGGAAGUGUGAGUUGAGAAAUUGCCCCUGAGUCUUCUGACCCACUGACCCUGUGUCAGCGUCUGGCUGAUUGCAGGAAGGAGGAGUAUUUUACAUCUAUCAGAGAGGCUCCUGGACUGGUAAUGUCACCUGACCGCCUGCCUUCCAUUGGUUCAUCUGGGACUAAAUCAACAGCCAAGCCAACCCCCUCCUCUCCAGGUCUCCGGCACCCCCACCAGUCCAGUCGCAGAAAGCGUAACAGGCAGCAGAAGACUUCUUUCUCCUCUGACACUCACCCUCAUCCAGGACCCUCAUCCAUCCUCCUCUCAGACGCCACCAUGACUCCUUGGGGAGGGCUGGCUCUAUCUGAGUCCUCCUUUAACUCAAUUCCCAAAAUACUUACUCCACGACCCUCUCCACCUCCACCCCCAGCCUCUCCUGUUCCCGAGCAAAUACCGUCAGCUACCCCAUAUCAUGGCAGGAGACAGGAAGAAGACAAAGACAGCUCAGGCUCAAGUUUUAACUCUCAAAUUCCAUCUCCACCUGUGGCAGUCAUGCAAAACAGCGCAGGUGGAGCAGCUAAAGAUUUGCAGUUGAGGCGGAGGGUGUUGCCUCAGUGUCGGCUUCCUCGUGCCCCCCGUCUCCCACCGCUUAACCAGGUCACUGACCUCAGUUUCUCUCGGAGCUUCACUUUCUCCUUCUUCGAGCUGCCGCUGCACCAGUCUCCUCGCUGGCGUGCCGAGCGCGUCAAAAACCUCUUAUUGCUUUUGAAACAGAUACACUAUUGAAGACGCAGAGCUGCGUGUUCCUACUGAUAGUUCAGAUCUGCCUUUCUUGAGUAUAUUAUUGUAUUAGUAAAAUGUUUAUUUUCAAAGUAAGAGUGAUGGGUGAGGGAUUUUUUUUGGCACAAUAGGAUAAGAAAAUAAGACUGCAUGUUAUUCUAUUCGAUCUGUGUUCAUUGCUUUUCGAGAGCUGGAUUUUCUUUGUUUGAUGUUUUCAAAUUUAUUUUAAAAAAUAGUUUCUAAGGGUGUGAGUUCA
ensembl:lncRNA